rnacentral:rRNA from 1 species
UCGGCAAUGGGCGAAAGCCUGACCGAGCGACGCCGCGUGCGGGAUGAAGGCCUUCGGGUUGUAAACCGCUGUCGUUGGGGAGGAAGUGCAGGGGGGUUCUCCCCUCUGUUUGACCUAUCCAAGGAGGAAGUACGGGCUAAGUUCGUGCCAGCAGCCGCGGUAAGACGAACCGUACGAACGUUAUUCGGAAUUACUGGGCUUAAAGGGUGCGUAGGCGGCGCGGUAAAUUGGGUGUGAAAGCCCUCAACUCAACUGAGGAACUGCACUCAAAACUACCGUGCUUGAGGGAGACAGAGGUAAGCGGAACUCAAGGUGGAGCGGUGAAAUGCGUUGAUAUCUUGAGGAACACCGGUGGCGAAGGCGGCUUACUGGGUCUUUUCUGACGCUGAGGCACGAAAGCUAAGGUAGCAAACGGGAUUAGAUACCCCGGUAGUCCUGGCUGUAAACAUUGGGCACUGGGUAGUGGAACCGCCGAUGGUUUCACUGCCGCAGGGAAACCGUGAAGUGCCCCGCCUGGGGAGUAUGGUCGCAAGGCUGAAACUCAAAGGA